rnacentral:rRNA from 1 species
ACGGGUAACGGGGAAUCAGGGUUCGAUUCCGGAGAGGAGCCCGAGAAACGGCUACCACUUCCAAGGAAGGCAGCAGGCGCGCAACUUACCCUAAUCUCGAUUCGAGGAGGUAGUGACAAGAAAUACCGAUGCGGACCCUACGGGUGCCGCGUUCGGAAUGAGUACGAUUCGAACCACCUAACGAGGAACGAUCGGAGGGCAAGUCUGGUGCCAGCAGCCGCGGUAAUUCCAGCUCCAAUAGCGUACGUUAAAGUUGCUGCAGUUAAAAGCUCGUAGUUGAACGUUCGGGUUCCGCGGGACGGGGCCGCCCCGCGAGGGACGGCGCCGCCCCGGGGCUCGUGAUAUCUCAUCUCGCCGCCCGUCGCGAGGCGGACGGAGGGAUGGAUGAGGUUACCUGGAAAAAAUCGGGGCGAUCUAGGCGGGCGAACCUCGCCAACGAACGAUCGGACAUGGGAUAACGGAAGAGGGC